GACGAACGCUGGCGGCGUGCUUAACACAUGCAAGUCGAACGGUGAAGCAGAGCUUGCUCUGUGGAUCAGUGGCGAACGGGUGAGUAACACGUGAGUAACCUGCCCUUUACUCUGGGAUAAGCGUUGGAAACGACGUCUAAUACCGGAUACGAGCUGAGACCGCAUGGUCAUCAGUUGGAAAGAUUUUUUGGUCAAGGAUGGACUCGCGGCCUAUCAGCUUGUUGGUGAGGUAAUGGCUCACCAAGGCGACGACGGGUAGCCGGCCUGAGAGGGUGACCGGCCACACUGGGACUGAGACACGGCCCAGACUCCUACGGGAGGCAGCAGUGGGGAAUAUUGCACAAUGGGCGCAAGCCUGAUGCAGCAACGCCGCGUGAGGGAUGACGGCCUUCGGGUUGUAAACCUCUUUUAGUAGGGAAGAAGCGAAAGUGACGGUACCUGCAGAAAAAGCACCGGCUAACUACGUG
rnacentral:rRNA from 1 species